CACGGGGGGAGCAAGCGUUGUUCGGAAUCACUGGGCGUAAAGGGCGUGUAGGCGGUCAGGUAAGUGGGAUGUGAAAUGCCUCGGCUCACCCGAGGCACUGCAUUCCAAACUGCUUGGCUUGAGUAUGGGAGAGGAUGAGGGAAUUCCUGGUGUAGCGGUGAAAUGCGCAGAUAUCAGGAGGAACACCGGUGGUGUAGACGGCUUUCUGGACGGAUACUGACGCUGAGGCGCGAAAGCCAGGGGAGCAAACGGG
rnacentral:rRNA from 1 species